GAUGAACGCUGGCGGCGUGCUUAACACAUGCAAGUCGAACGUGAGAGGAUAGCAAUGUUCUUGAAAGUGGCGCACGGGUGAGUAAUACGUAGGUAACCUGCCCUGGAGUGGGGGAUAACAACUAGAAAUGGUUGCUAAUACCGCAUGAAGCCAAGACACUGGGAAGUGACUUGGUAAAAAACUCUGGUGCUUCAGGAGGGGCCUACGGCCGAUUAGCUAGUUGGCGGGGUAAGAGCCCACCAAGGCAGUGAUCGGUAGCUGGUCUGAGAGGACGAUCAGCCACACAGGAACUGAGACACGGUCCCGACUCCUACGGGGGGCAGCAGUGAGGAAUAUUGGGCAAUGGGCGGAAGCCUGACCCAGCAACGCCGCGUGGA
rnacentral:rRNA from 1 species